rnacentral:rRNA from 1 species
UACGGAGGGUGCGAGCGUUAUCCGGAAUUACUGGGUUUAAAGGGUGCGUAGGUGGGCAAGUAAGUCAGUGGUGAAAUCUCCGGGCUUAACCCGGAAACUGCCAUUGAUACUAUUUGUCUUGAAUACUGUGGAGGUCAGCGGAAUAUGUCAUGUAGCGGUGAAAUGCUUAGAUAUGACAUAGAACACCAACUGCGAAGGCAGCUGGCUACACAAAUAUUGACACUGAGGCACGAAAGCGUGGGGAUCAAACAGG